rnacentral:lncRNA from 12 species
GAAGAAAUGAUGUUUUGCCUGCAGGGCUCAUUAAUUAGUUGAAUUUCUCAUCUAAUCCUUCUGGGUCAGCUGUGUUGCUUAGUCUACUCCAGAAGGGACAGGCUUGUGGAAACCGUCCUGACAGGUAUCUUGAAGAUACAAUACACAGGCAUAAACUGUGCAUGCAUUCAGCAAGGUAAAUGCUACAACUUCUGUCCUUGCAUGUUAAUGAAGGGCUAGAAGUAAGGGCUUAUUUUCAUUUGGAUAGUUACAGCAAGCCUUUUGGAUUAUCUGAUUUGAUUUUAAAAUAAAGCUUGGACCAAUCUGUGGAAAAAUUGUUUUACUUGAUUUCUUUUCUUCUUCACUUAGCCACCACGUCUCGGUCCCAUGUACUAAUUGUUGUUUUAAUAAAUCAACAAAAACAAGUAGUUCCAACAAUGUAGUAGUGUGUGAUACCUCAUAGGAUCUCUUACACUACAGUCUAGAAAAGUGUUUUAAAAUACUGACAUAUUAGUAGCAAUUAUUUAAUUCUGUCCUAUGUUUUAUUUUGAUCACAGCAAGUGUAAGGACUAAAUUUUGCUCUGCACUGCACCAUGUUCCCAUGCCUUGCAUGAAGUUUGCUCGUAUGCCUGCACAGCUGAAGGGACACUCCUUUGCGCUCCAAACAAAAGCCUGAAAAUCUGGAGGGCUGGGACCGCUUUCUUCCUGGAGGCUGGCGAGCUCCUUAAAAGUCUGGAUGUCUUUUCCUUGCGAUUUGUUGUUAUUCUGUGGCCGGCUCCUUUCGGGGUGCGGGUGGCCAGGUGUCCGUGUGACCGCCAUCCCCCCAGGGCCGGGGGGACACGCCGGGAGGUGUUGAGUGCUGAAUGUUAAGCUCGUUCCUUUGUAUGGCUUAGAAAUCUCUGUUGUCCGGAAUUGUACAGAUAAGGCAGGCCCAUUUGCUUCAUUGUCAGGCAAUGUAGCUGAAUAGAAAUGCAAAUGUGACAUAAGGGGACUGCGCUGGGGAGGCGUUUGCUGUUACCUCCUCUAACAGUGCUCCUGGCUGUUGGAAAAUUCCUGCAGAAUCCAAGGGGUGCGGGGGGCUGUGUUUGGUUGGU